UCAGCUGAGGAACGGUGGUACCGUGAAAUUCCUCUUCCUCCACCAUACCUAGGAGAAAUUGUGUCCUUCCUUCGCUCACCAUGCGUCCUUUCCUCUGUUUUGGAUGAAAAAUGUACAGCCAUUUUCAAGUAUUUUGAUUGGACCUGAUCAGAAAUUUGAAAUUGGAUGGGACUUGACAAGGAUUUAGAACUGUUUAUCAAACCAUACUGCUAGUCAAAUAUUAAAUUGCUUAAA